UCCCGCCCCUCGCUUCCCCGGGCGGCCGAGGCGGGCCGGCCCCCACCCCACCCGCCGCCUCCCGAGCUCGACCGCGGCCCGGGAGCUGCGGAUCCCUCCGCCUGCAGGGAGGGAGGGUGAGGCGAAACGCAGAGACCUUCCCGGGAGGGGCCUGCCCCCGCGGGGCCCUACGAGCUGGCCGGACGGCCGGGCACUUCAGCCCCGCGCUCCUGGAGGUCUUCCCGGGGAGGCUGGCGGCGACACGCACACGACCUGGCGCCGCGCCCGCCCGGGCCCUGGAGAGUUGGGAGGUGGGGUUCUAAGUAGGUGGAUGCAGGGGAGACUGUCUCAUGGUGAGCCUCCCGCCAACCACAGCUCCAGCCAAUCUCCCGUUCGCAGCAGGCCUGCCAGGGCUCUGAUUGGCUAGCUGGUCCUCCCAGCCAUGGAAUGUUGGGUCCUGCACAAAGGAAUGAGGAAGGAAGGCCGCUAGAUUUCUCAUCCCAGAAUCUUCUGGGUUUAAAAGGACUGAGCAAGCUCAGAUCAUUGGGUCUCAUUUUUCCUACCCUACUUCUGACUGCCUGUCCAUCUAGAGAAAAGUCACCUAGAAGCCCAAAGCUGCUGUAAAAUCCCCUAGGAGCCAGACACUGGUGCCCACCGAAGUCCACUCCUCUCUGUAGUCACGUGCUCCCAGCUUGGUCACCAGCGGACUAUUUCCUUCUCUCCGCGGAAGGACAUAAUUGACAGCGCAAACUCGAGUUACCACCGACUUUAGCUGCACCACUCCUUUUUCUGUACCCCAGGACAGAAAGUUUGAAGGAAACACAUUUCUUUAAAGCUCUGAUCAGCUAACUCGGGAGUGGCCCCUUUAAAUGCAAAUAAGCCACCUUCUUUCCCGGGUCCCCCACCCCCAUUCCAACUUCGUUCCUCGUGCCCAGACUCCGCCAGCUGCCAUUGACGUCACGCGUGCGUCAGCGUCGCCAGCCCAACCAGACGGCACGUGGGGGGAAGAAGGUAGCCUUAAAGGGCCAGUCGCUGCCGGCCCGCGGGUUACCGCUGCGAGGGUUGAUUUUGGAAAGGAAUAAUGAAAUGGUAUGUGGGAAAAUGUGUUGAAACAGAAAGAAAUGCUGGGUAGACUUUAGGAAGCACUUUCAGAAUAGGAGGGCGCAGUGUGUGUGUAUGUGUGUGUGUGCGUGCGCGCGCGCGCGCGAGCGCCUGGCAAGUGCUAACACACACUCCACUAAACUAUAUCCUCCCCCAGCCCCUACAGGGUUUGUUGUAAGCCAGGCCGUUCUUUUCCAUUUCAGAAGUUUGGGUAUUUGCAUCUGGGAGGAGGAGCAGAACAAUUCUGAAGGUAAAGGAGGCUUGGUCUUUAAGACUAAUGAUUUCUGUCUUUCUUUAUCCCUGCCAUCCAUGUCCACAAGUGCAAGGACUUUGUUCACUUCUGUUUUUGGCACCUGGAAUAGAGCACAUAGUAGAUUCUCAUUUAAGUAUUUGCACAGUGAAAGUGUUAGUCUUUCGAGUUCUUGGCUAAGCCACCUCCUUUAAGAGGCUUUCCCUGAUUGCCCUACCCUGCUUGUGUAGCAGACACACUCAGCUAAAGGCAGUCUCACUCUUUUGAAUACAAUAAACCAAUAUCUUGCUUCCCUGUGUUAGGGACUUCUGCCCAGUGAUGGAGACCAUACAAUUUGGGAUCUAUAAGCUUGAGUUCUCACUUUGUUUAUACUGUUAUCGGCUUCAGUGACCUCCAACAUGUCUCUGUGUCUUAUUGCUAUAACCCAUGCAUGAAGCAGUGUGACUUAGACCAUACUUGCUAUGAGUGUUAAAUAGGAAAGUUUCUGGGAGGUACGUAUUGGCACAGCAAGCACCCACUAGCAGUGAGGAGUGGGUUUGCAGAUACCAUCUCCACAUUUAUGGGCUUAAGAACAGGUCCCUGGGGCCGGGGAUAUAUCUCAGCAGCGACCUGCCUGGCAAGUGCAAGGUCCUAAGUUUGAUUCCCUGCACCAAAAAAAAAAAAAAAAAAAAAGAAUGAGGCCCCUGCCAUACUGAUGUAUACUCCACACCAAGUGUAACCUGAGGCUUUUAACUGGUCUGUUGAAUGAAUAAAGAUGAACGAGUGAAUGA